rnacentral:lncRNA from 1 species
AUUGUCUCAUAAAACAGUUUUAAAAUAUCCCAGCUAUGGUAGACGGAAGACUUGGACCCAUGCCUGAGUGGCGUCAGAGCCUCUGCUUAUUCUGUGCUCCCCUUUGUGUCUUCAUCUAGGCUCUCUGUCAUCUUGUGAAUUGUAUGACUAGACCUCACCCUCUCACUGACAUGUAAUUGUACAAACUGACACGCCCUUCAGCGACUACUACUCCGACAGAUGAGGGUCAGUGUCAGGGAGCAGGUACACAGAUCUCAGAUGCAAAUCCUGGCACUAUAAGGAACGUCGAUGAAGGGGCAUUGGGUCUCUAAUGGAGUCGGAUGUGGGUCCUGACUUGAGGAGUUCGUGUUGCAAAAGCACAUUGAUGUACAUGUUGCUCACAUGUAGUUCUGCCAGAAUGACAUGGUACGACAUGGUACGUCAGGAUGAUGGAGCACCAGCUGGACAAAGACUGACGAUGCCCUUGCUGCCUCCCACUUAGCAGGUCAUACACGGGCCUCUCCUCACCCACUGGCUUGAAAAUCAUUUCUUUCUUGUCUCUGAAUGAAGGGCUCACAGAACCCUGCAGAAGAGGAAUCGGGAAGAGUGUAAGACCCAGAGGGCAUGGAGGACACCAAGAAAACAAGGUCAUCUAAAUCAACAUGAGCAAAAUUCCUAUGAACUCACAGAGACUGAGGCAGCAUGCACAGGGCCUGCACGGUUCUGCACCCAUCCUCUACAUACAUAUUAUGGAUUUCCAUUUUAGUGUUUUCAUGGACUUCCUGGGUGUGUGAACAAGUGGGUCUAUGGCCUUUGUGCCUUCUCUCGGGCUCUUUCCUUCUGUUUUGUACAAUUCCUAUGUAUUUUUGUUUUAUUUUAUUUCAUUUUAUUAUCCCUUAGAAAGCUCUGGAUGAGAGGAGAGGUGGAGAGAAACGGAGAAGGGGAAACCAUAAUCAAGAUAUAUUAUGUAAUAAAACAUCUAUUUUCAAUAUUUAAAAAAAGACCAGAGAUGUAACUCAGCGGACAGAGGCUUGCCUAGCAUGAGGAAGCCUUGGGUUCCAUCCCCAGCACCACAUAAACUAGGCAUAGUGGUGCACACCUAUAAUCCCAGCAGUCAGGUGGACCCAGCACAAUCAGCAGUUUAAGGUCAUCCUUGGCUACCUAGCAAGUCUGAGGUCUGCCCAGGCUACAUGAGACCCUAUCUCCUGCCCCCCUAAUUAUACAAUAAACAAAAAGCGAGG